rnacentral:tRNA from 1 species
GCAGCAUUGGUCUAAUGGUUAGGAUAUCUACCUUCCAAGCAGAUAGUCCGGGUUCAAUUCCCGGACGGUGCA